GACGUGGGGCGCGAGCGUUGUCCGGAUUUAUUGGGCGUAAAGAGCUCGUAGGUGGUUUGUCGCGUUGUUCGUGAAAACUCACAGCUUAACUGUGGGCGUGCGGGCGAUACGGGCAGACUAGAGUUCGGUAGGGGAGACUGGAAUUCCUGGUGUAGCGGUGAAAUGCGCAGAUAUCAGGAGGAACACCAAUUGCGAAGGCAGCUCGCUGGGACGUUACUGACGCUGAGACGCGAAGCGUGGGGUGCAAAAGGG
rnacentral:rRNA from 1 species